GAGACACGACAGGGGAGCGCCCCUCGACAGGAGAUCUGGCUGAUCAGCCAGUAUCCUGCCGGCAGGACGCUGAGAGUGGGCUGAAGGCCCAGACCCUCGCACCUGAUCAGGUUAGGACCUGCGAAGGAAGUCGAGCAUCUUCACUC
rnacentral:ncRNA from 1 species